AGCUUAAAGUAAUAAAUUAUAGGUUAAACCUGCCCAGUGUAAACAUAUAAAUGGCCGCGGUACUUUGACCGUGCUAAGGUAGCGCAAUCAAUUGGCUUUUAAUUGUAGUCAUGUAUGAAUGGAUUAACAGGGCUUAGCUGUCUCUUAUUUAUUUUAUUAAAAUUACUAUUUAGGUGAAAAAGCCUAGAUUUUCAAAAAAGACGAGAAGACCCUUAGAGUUUAUCUAAGAUUAAUUUAUAAUUAGACUUGUUUGGUUGGGGCAACAAAGGAAAAUAAACAUCCUUAUCUACAAAUCGGCAAUUACAGUAAGUUAAAACUACCUUAGGGAUAACAGCAUAAUUUUAUAAAUAAGUUUGUGACCUCGAUGUUGGACUAGGAAAUUUAAUGGUUAGAUGCCACUAAGUAAGGUUCUGUUCGAACUUAAUCUCCU
rnacentral:rRNA from 1 species